rnacentral:lncRNA from 1 species
UUUUCCUUCCUGGGAUGAGGAGUUGUUAUUUGCCAUGUGUUUCCAGUAUGCCUUUUCUGCCUUGGAGAUAGCUGACCUUGGACUGAACCUGCUAGAAGAUUUGGGAUGCCCUACUGAGGUCCUGAGUCACACAGAAUAUGCUGAAUCAGCCUGCUGCAGAAAGGCAGGUCUGCCCAUGCCCUACCAGGUCCCAAGUCAAACGGAAGACACCAAUCACCCCGCUGCAGGCAGGCAGCCACCUGGUUCCACACUACAAAGACGCAGAGGACACCAGACCACCAGACCAAGGUACUGAGUCCCGCUGCUCCCGGUCCAGAGGUAGGGGCUUCUGAGCCUCCGUCCCACUGCUCCUG